UUGCUCGCUUCAGCACCACAUAUACUAAAAUUGGAACAAUACAGAGAUGAGCAUGGUCCCUGCGCAAGAAUGACAUGCAAAUUCGUGAAGCGUUCCAUAUACAU